rnacentral:tRNA from 1 species
AGUUAGUAAGCUCUAAGCAUUAUAUCUUGAAAAUAUAAAAAAGAAUAAAAAUUCUACUUACUU